rnacentral:snRNA from 1 species
AGCUUUGCGCAGUGGCAGUAUCGUAGCCAAUGAGGUUUAUCCGAGGCGCGAUUAUUGCUAAUUGAAAAAAAAAAAAAAAAGACUGAAAGCAGGAACACAAAUUCUGGGUUACUUUGAAAACU